rnacentral:rRNA from 1 species
UACGUAGGGUGCGAGCGUUGUCCGGAAUUACUGGGCGUAAAGAGCUCGUAGGUGGUUUGUCGCGUUGUUCGUGAAAACUCACAACUCAAUUGUGGGCGUGCGGGCGAUACGGGCAGACUGGAGUACUGCAGGGGAGACUGGAAUUCCUGGUGUAGCGGUGAAAUGCUUAGAUAUCAGGAGGAACACCAGUGGCGAAGGCGGUGUUCUGGGCCAGUACUGACGCUGAGGCGCGAAAGCGUGGGGAGCGAACAGG